rnacentral:rRNA from 1 species
GUUGUGGUUAAAAAGCUCGUAGUUGGAUCUCAACAGCCUUGAAGCGGUUAACUUUGUAGUUUUACUGCUUUAUAGGCUGUGCUUUUGCUGGAGGUUUAGGGGUGCUCUUGAUCGAGUGUCUCUGGAUGCCAGCAGGUUUACUUUGAAAAAAUUAGAGUGCUCAAAGCAGGCUAAAAUGCCUGAAUAUUCGUGCAUGGAAUAAUAGAAUAGGAUGUCGAUCCUAUUUUGUUGGUUUUCGGGACUCGACAUAAUGAUAAAUAGGGACAGUCGGGGGCAUUUGUAUUCAAACGACAGAGGUGAAAUUCUUGGACCGUUUGAAGACAAACUACUGCGAAAGCAUUUGCCAAGAAUGUUUUCAUUAAUCAAGAACGAAAGUUAGAGGUUCGAAGGCGAUUAGAUACCGCCCUAGUUCUAACCAUAAACGAUGCCAGCUAGCGAUCUGCCUGCGUUUUUACCGUAGACUGGGCAGGAAGCUUCCGGGAAACCAAAGCAUUUGGGUUCCAGGGGAAGUAUGGUUGCAAAGCUGAAACUUAAAGGAAUUGACGGAAGGGCACCACCAGGAGUGGAGCCUGUGGCUUA